rnacentral:rRNA from 1 species
UCCAGACUCCUACGGGAGGCAGCAGUGAGGAAUAUUGGUCAAUGGGCGCGAGCCUGAACCAGCCAAGUCGCGUGAGGGAUGACGGCCCUACGGGUUGUAAACCUCUUUUGUCGGGGAGCAAAUUCCGUUACGUGUAACGGAGUCGAGAGUACCCGAAGAAAAAGCAUCGGCUAACUCCGUGCCAGCAGCCGCGGUAAUACGUAGGGGGCAAGCGUUAUCCGGAAUUACUGGGUGUAAAGGGAGCGUAGACGGUAAUGCAAGUCUGGAGUGAAAGGCGGGGGCCCAACCCCCGGACUGCUCUGGAAACUGUGUAACUGGAGUGCAGGAGAGGCAGGCGGAAUUCCUAGUGUAGCGGUGAAAUGCGUAGAUAUUAGGAGGAACACCAGUGGCGAAGGCGGCCUGCUGGACUGUAACUGACGUUGAGGCUCGAAAGCGUGGGGAGCAAACAGGAUUAGAUACCCUUGUACC